AUUGAACGCUGGCGGCAGGCCUAACACAUGCAAGUCGCGCGGAGCGGCGGACGGGUGCGUAAUGCCUAGGAAUCUGCCUGGUGGUGGGGGAUAACGUCCGGAAACGGGCGCUAAUACCGCAUACUAUCAGAUUAGCCUAGGUCGGAAUAGCUAGUUGGUGGGGUAAAGGCCUACCAAGCCGACGAUCCGGAACUGGUCUGAGAGGAUGAUCAGUCACACUGGAACGGGGACACGGUCCAGACUCCUACGGGAGGCAGCAGUGGGGAAUAUUGGACAAUGGGCGCAAGCCUGAUGCAGCCAUGCCGCGUGUAUGAAGAAGGCCUUCGGGUUGUAAAGUACUUUCAGCGGGGAGGCGUUACCCGCAGAAGAAGCACAGGCUAACUCCGUGCCAGCCGCCGCGGUAAUUC
rnacentral:rRNA from 1 species